rnacentral:misc_RNA from 1 species
CUAACCCAUUGCCCCUUAUCACAGGCCUCAAGGUAGUCCAUACAACCAGUGAAAGAUAAUGAAGCACAAGAAAAAAAGAACUAAUCCAGAGAACCUGAUAUUGAAGAACAAGACAAAGAAAGUACAACCUCUAUUUAUUUUUUUUGACGAAGAGAAAGUACAACCUCUAUUUUCAGUAUUUUCAAGGUGUCUUUAAUUUCCAAGAGGAAACAUUAUUGG